rnacentral:rRNA from 1 species
AUCGGAGUUCGAUUAAGCCAUGCGAGUNUAAAGGUUUNUUNGGAAACCUUGGCGGACUGCUCAGUAACACGUGGAUAACCUACCCUUGGGACUGGAAUAACCCCGGGAAACUGGGGAUAAUACCGGAUAGAUCAGGGAUGCUGGAAUGCACCUUGAUCCAAAGNUCCGGCGCCCANGGAUGGNUCUGCGGCCUAUCAGGUAGUAGUGGGUGUAACGUACCUACUAGCCAACGACGGGUACGGGUUGUGAGAGCAAGAGCCCGGAGAUGGAUUCUGAGACACGAAUCCAGGCCCUACGGGGUGCAGCAGGCGCGAAACCUUUACAAUGUGCGAAAGCAUGAUAAGGGAACUCCGAGUGCCAGCAUCUAAUGUUGGCUGUCCUUGUGCCUAAAACGCACAAGAUAGCAAGGGCCGGGUAAGACCGGUGCCAGCCGCCGCGGUAACACCGGCGGCCCGAGUGGUAGCCGCUAUUAUUGGGUCUAAAGGGUCCGUAGCCGGUUCGAUAAGUCCUCUGGGAAAUCUGGUUGCUUAACAAUCAGACUGCCAAGGGAUACUGUCGAACUUGAGACCGGGAGAGGUAAGAGGUACUUCAGGGGUAGGAGUGAAAUCUUGUAAUCCCUGGGGGACCAUCUGUGGCGAAGGCGUCUUACCAGAACGGGUCUGACGGUGAGGGACGAAAGCUGGGGGCGCAAACCGGAUUAGAUACCCGGGUAGUCCCAGCCGUAAACGAUGCUCGCUAUGUGUCAGGUACGGUGUGACCGUAUCUGGUGCCGUAGGGAAGCCGUGAAGCGAGCCACCUGGGAAGUACGGCCGCAAGGCUGAAACUUAAAGGAAUUGGCGGG